rnacentral:lncRNA from 1 species
UUUGCAACCUGACACUGUUCAGCUUUUUUAUCUUUUACCAGUAUUUGGGGACUUAUUGGGGAUUCCUUUGAUAAUUUCAGGAAGAAAGAAGUGGAAUGGAAGGAGCCAGUAACUGUCCCAGGUCAGAAAACGCCUCUGAAAAGGAUCUACAUUACACCCAAAGUUCAUUGGAUAACUGCACCCUCAACAAUCAGGAGACAAUAAGUGGUGUAGACAGAGCUAAUAUCUUCCCCAAAUCAGAUGGUACCUCUGAAGACAUUCAGCAUUCCACAGACUGUUCACAGGUUGAGACUUUCCACAUUCAGGAGACAAUAAGUGGUACGAACCAAGCCAGUAACUGCCCCAAAUCAGAUGGUGCCUCUGAAGACAAUCAGCAUUGCACAGACAGUUCACAGCAUGACAGUAUCUUCCACAUUCAGGAGACAAUAAAGGGUAUGAACCAAGCCAGUAACUGCCCCAAAUCAGAUGGUGCCUCUGAAGACAAUCAGCAUUGCACAGACAGUCCACAGCAUGACAGUAUCUUCCACAUUCAGGAGACAAUAAAGGGUAUGAACCAAGCCAGUAACUGCCCCAAAUCAGAUGGUGCCUCUGAAGACAAUCAGCAUUGCACAGACAGUCCACAGCAUGACAGUAUCUUCCACAUUCAGGAGACAAUAAAGGGUACGAACCAAGCCAGUAACUGCCCCAAAUCAGAUGGUGCCUCUGAAGACAAUCAGCAUUGCACAGACAGUUCACAGCAUGACAGUAUCUUCCACAUUCAGGAGACAAUAAAGGGUACGAACCAAGCCAGUAACUGCCCCAAAUCAGAUGGUGCCUCUGAAGACAAUCAGCAUUGCACAGACCGUCCACAGCAUGACAGUAUCUUCCACAUUCAGUGGCUCUUGAUGUAGAACCACCCAUAGAUCCUUCUGCAAAAGAAGUCCAGAAAUCUUCAAUUGAACAAGCAACAGAAAUAACAAGUACCACAACUACCAUGAAAGGUACUGUUUGUUAAACUUCAUAGAAAGCCUUUAUGAACUUAAAAAUCUCUGUUUUUUCUGAUGUGCUUUGUUCAUUCAGGUCGAAAGGUGGUAAAGAAAAAGAAAUGGGACAGUGAUGAAAUGAAUGCAGUUGAAAAGCAUCUAAACAGGUUCAUCAAAACUUGUACAGUGCCAGGAAAACAACAAUGUGAGGCCUGUAUAAAUGCUGAACCUGUUGCCUUGAAAGACAGGGAUUGGUUGUCUGUAAAGUUCUUUGUGAAGAACAAAAUCACUACCCUUAAAAGAAGAAUGUAAAGUCAGUUAUUUUAUUUUGUUUGGUAUCUUAUUUUCUGGUAUUUUAGAUUUCUGGUUAUUACAUUUGUUUUAAAAGGAUCUUAGAAUCUCUUUUUUUUUUUUUUUUGGAAAUGGGUGC